rnacentral:rRNA from 1 species
GCGCCUAACACAUGCAAGUCGAACGAGCGAGAGAGAGCUUGCUUUCUCAAGCGAGUGGCGAACGGGUGAGUAACGCGUGAGGAACCUGCCUCAAAGAGGGGGACAACAGUUGGAAACGACUGCUAAUACCGCAUAAGCCCACGGGUCGGCAUCGACCAGAGGGAAAAGGAGCAAUCCGCUUUGAGAUGGCCUCGCGUCCGAUUAGCUAGUUGGUGAGGUAAUGGCCCACCAAGGCGACGAUCGGUAGCCGGACUGAGAGGUUGAACGGCCACAUUGGGACUGAGACACGGCCCAGACUCCUACGGGAGGCAGCAGUGGGGAAUAUUGCACAAUGGGGGAAACCCUGAUGCAGCGACGCCGCGUGGAGGAAGAAGGUCUUCGGAUUGUAAACUCCUGUUGUUGAGGAAGAUAAUGACGGUACUCAACAAGGAAGUGACGGCUAACUACGUGCCAGCAGCCGCGGUAAAACGUAGGUCACAAGCGUUAUCCGGAAUUACUGGGUGUAAAGGGAGCGCAGGCGGGAAGACAAGUUGGAAGUGAAAUCUAUGGGCUCAACCCAUAAACUGCUUUCAAAACUGUUUUUCUUGAGUAGUGCAGAGGUAGGCGGAAUUCCCGGUGUAGCGGUGGAAUGCGUAGAUAUCGGGAGGAACACCAGUGGCGAAGGCGGCCUACUGGGCACCAACUGACGCU